AGGUCAUUUCAAAGAAGGCUCAUGUGACUGUGAGACCGCGAACUCUUAAUGCUGUGGUCGAAGACUGCAAUACGAUAGGACAGUACUCGGUGCUGCUAUGUUUCUCUGAGGAGACAUUAAU
rnacentral:snoRNA from 1 species